rnacentral:rRNA from 1 species
GAUAAGGAGCUUGCUCCUUUGACGUUAGCGGCGGACGGGUGAGUAACACGUGGAUAACCUACCUAUAAGACUGGGAUAACUUCGGGAAACCGGAGCUAAUACCGGAUAACAUAUUGAACCGCAUGGUUCAAUAGUGAAAGGCGGCUUUGCUGUCACUUAUAGAUGGAUCCGCGCCGUAUUAGCUAGUUGGUAAGGUAACGGCUUACCAAGGCAACGAUACGUAGUAGACCUGAGAGGGUGAUCGGCCACACUGGAACUGAGACACGGUCCAGACUCCUACGGGAGGCAGCAGUAGGGAAUCUUCCGCAAUGGGCGAAAGCCUGACGGAGCAACGCCGCGUGAGUGAUGAAGGUCUUCGGAUCGUAAAACUCUGUUAUCAGGGAAGAACAAAUGUGUAAGUAACUGUGCACAUCUUGACGGUACCUGAUCAGAAAGCCACGGCUAACUACGUGCCAGCAGCCGCGGUAAUACGUAGGUGGCAAGCGUUAUCCGGAAUUAUUGGGCGUAAAGCGCGCGUAGGCGGUUUUUUAAGUCUGAUGUGAAAGCCCACGGCUCAACCGUGGAGGGUCAUUGGAAACUGGAAAACUUGAGUGCAGAAGAGGAAAGUGGAAUUCCAUGUGUAGCGGUGAAAUGCGCAGAGAUAUGGAGGAACACCAGGGGGCGAAAGCGACUUUCUGGUCUGUAACUGACGCUGAUGUGCGAAAGCGUGGGGAUCAAACAGGAUUAGAUACCCUGGUAGUCCACGCCGUAAACGAUGAGUGCUAAGUGUUAGGGGGUUUCCGCCCCUUAG